UACGUAGGGUGCGAGCGUUGCCCGGAUUUAUUGGGCGUAAAGGGCGCGUAGGCGGCUCUGCACGUCCGUUGUGAAAUCGCCCGGCUCAACUGGGCGGGGUCAGCGGAUACGGCAGAGCUCGAGCAAGCUAGGGGGCAAUGGAAUUCCCGGUGUAGUGGUGGAAUGCGUAGAUAUCGGGAGGAACACCAGUGGCGAAGGCGGUUGCCUGGGGUCUU
rnacentral:rRNA from 1 species